UUGACCUACCCCUGUACUUUCCUCGAGACCAGCCAACCCUAACCUUUCAGUCUGUCUACCACUUCACUAACAGUGGGCAGCUGUACUCCCAGGCCCAGAAGAACUACCCAUAUAGCCCACGCUGGGAUGGCAACGAAAUGGCCAAGAGAGCAAAGGCAUAUUUCAAAACAUUUGUCCCUCAGUUCCAGGAGGCUGCAUUUGCUAAUGGAAAGCUUUAGGUAACCUCGGGCAUUGAGACGAUACUGGACAGAUUCUUCCGUCUGCGCAUGUCAGCACUCAAGUAUUCCUGGAAAUGGGCUGGACUGGCUUGAUACUUUCUAGCCUCCUCAAUAGUUUUGGUAGCUUCAUGUUUUGCCUGAUUUAUGAAACAAUGACCUCAGCUAGCACGCUCAACAAUUUUACGUUCAUUGACUCCCUUUGCCUCUGCCAUUCCUUUAUGUAUCUACUGGAUUAAAUUUAAAAGUAUGUGUUUUGAUGUGGUAACGUUUUCUUGUGCCAACAAUGUCCUAUAUGUUAUGCCUUGUUUGCUUAUCUUCAGGUGGUGUUAAUUGGAUUUUUUUUCUACAGAAAUAUUGUGAAAUUUGUCCAUUUAGUUAACAUUUCCAGCUUGUCCUCAGAAAAUAUAGUACUGCCGAUAUACCAGAAAUGCCUAAUGGACUGUACAGUGCCAUAUUCUGCCUUGGCUGUUUGCAUCUCACUGUGGUUAUUAUUCUCACAGGUAUGGAUAUGAGUUGCACAGUUCAAUUCUCAGUGCCUUUCAAGUGGGUCUGAUAUUAAUAUGGCAGGGUUUUGGAAGGUUUUUUUUAUGUUUCAGUUGAAAGCUCAUCUUAUAUUAAAUGCUGUGCUUUUAUGCUUUGUUUUUAUUUCCAGUUGCACACUUUCAGUGUUUUUCUAAUGAACUCCCUUUGCUUUUAUGAAAAAGUUCUAGUUCUCCAGUACAAAUGCUCAAAGAGCUCCUUCUAUCAAUCAGUAUAACAAAAUAAUGCUCUUCCGAAGACAGUUUUUCCAAGUAAGAUAAAUACUGCUAAGAAGCAAACUUUCAACAAAUGAAUGAAAUACGUCUUGGAAAGUAACUGAUGAAAUAAUGUGGGGUUAUAUAUAUUUAGCUUAAUGCCUAAUCUCAAUGUUUUCUCAGAAAUAAUUUUAAGUGUAUAUAACUGGAAGCAUUACCUCCCCUAACUCUGAAAUGCCAAAUACAAAAUUCCACCUAUUCAUCCUUUCUUUCGUGCUUGUGUCAGGCGCACCGGUCUAGGACUAACAGUCAGUGUGUCACUUCCCAAAUUAAUCUGUAAAUAGACAUGAGGGCUUUCCAGUAAGGAAUGAAAUUAACAGUCUGUGUUGCUUAUAAAUGGCGCAUGGAAAAUGUGCCCUACUUCUGCUAAAUAUAAGGAACCAAAUGAAUGAUAUGCGGAUGAUACCGUGGCACUGAAGAACAUUUAAUUUCGAAUUGUUCACCUUAUCACCACUCAUAUAAUGGAAUCCCAUCCAAUUAAUUGAUUGGCAGUGUGCUCCUACCCUUUCUAAAACUUGUUAUUUUAUAUUAAAAUGAGCAUGUUCCAGUGGAAUGUCCACUUAGGGGGUGUAGAUGAGUUCUGAGCUUAAUAAUUAAAAAUUAUGCAAAUAAGUCUCCUCUAGAAACUACAGGUAUUUUUAGCUAUUUUAUAGGCAAAAUUGUAGUUUAAUAUUGAAGUUCUUGGCUGGAAGUUAAUCUGCAAACAAAAUCAGAGGCGUUACUGCAGAGGGGGACGUGUUCUGUCCUGCGACCCAUCUCCAUGUGACUUGCUGCAUUAUCUGAGGGCUGUAAACAGCUCCAAAGGUCUGGGCUGAAUUCUCCCUGUGGAGGCAUUGCACUAGGCUUUUGCAUGCAAACCAAGACACAGAGCAGAUGUGGAGGGCAAUGGUUUUAUGUGUUGAGCAAAACUAUAACUGAACAGCCUUAAAUGACUGAAAAUAGACUUUGUUUGAUAUGUUGGGACAAUCUCAGAUCUGUUAUUUCUCCAGGUAAAAAUCAAAGUCUCACACCUACUAGGGAAUAAGCUGACUCUUGUGAAUGGGAAGGGAGAAGGAGGACGGCUAAUGAAAAGCAUUUGUUCUCACAACAUUCAAAAUCCCAUAGAAAACAUCUCUGGUACAUUAAAGAGAAAAAAAAAGCACCCUUGAGUUGAGUCUGUAGAUCCCUGGCACUUGACAUUUUAUAGCACUGUAUUUGAUUCUGUGUCACGCUGACCAGCCCAUAAACACGGCGUUUGCUCUAUACAUCGAAUUGACGGAGGGGCUCAGGUACUUUUAAAAUCUUUUCAGAGCUUACCCUGAUGCUUUCAAAGGCCAGCAAUUGCAACGUGUUUCAGAAGUUCUGCUUUUCAGAAGUAACGCACAUUUUCAACCAAAAAUACUACCUUCAUCCCAGCCUAAGAAUUCUGGACAAAGGACUGCUUUCUUACUGAGGUCUACAUGUUCUACAAACUGUGUAAGGGAGGACUUUGAAGACAGAAAAAGCCUCAAUCAACAAUUCUUUAUGUUACUCCAUAACGCCAUAUCAACUUUUCACUAACAUACAUGGAAAUGAGCCAGUGCUUUCAGUUUAAUUUUACCUCAUCCUACAACUGGUAGUUUUUGGCAAAAAAAGGUGAAGUAGAAGAGUUGAGAGACUGAAGUGUUUCUGUAUGAGAUAAAGCCUGCAUAUCUAUCAGUUUUCAGGUUAGAAUAAAGGCAUUUUCCUUGCACUUGA